UACGAAGGGGGCUAGCGUUGCUCGGAAUCACUGGGCGUAAAGCGCGUGUAGGCGGCCCACUAAGUCUGAUGUGAAAGCCCGGGGCUCACCCCCGGAAGUGCAUUGGAAACUGGUGGACUCGAGUCCCGGAGAGGAGAGUGGAAUUCCUGGUGUAGCGGUGAAAUGCGUAGAUAUCAGGAGGAACACCGGUGGCGAAGGCGGCAUCCUGGACCAUUACUGACGCUGAGGCGCGAAAGCUAGGGGAGCAAACGGG
rnacentral:rRNA from 1 species